rnacentral:rRNA from 1 species
GACGAACGCUGGCGGCGUGCUUAACACAUGCAAGUCGAACGGUAAGGCCCUUUCGGGGGUACACGAGUGGCGAACGGGUGAGUAACACGUGGGUGAUCUGCCCUGCACUUUGGGAUAAGACUGGGAAACUGGGUCUAAUACCGGAUAGGACUACGCGAUGCAUGUCGUGUGGUGGAAAGCUUUUGCGGUGUGGGAUGGGCCCGCGGCCUAUCAGCUUGUUGGUGGGGUGAUGGCCUACCAAGGCGACGACGGGUAGCCGGCCUGAGAGGGUGUCCGGCCACACUGGGACUGAGAUACGGCCCAGACUCCUACGGGAGGCAGCAGUGGGAAAUAUUGCACAAUGGGCGCAAGCCUGAUGCAGCGACGCCGCGUGGGGGAUGACGGCCUUCGGGUUGUAAACCCCUUUCAGCACAGACGAAGCGUAAGUGACGGUAUGUGCAGAAGAAGCACCGGCCAACUACGUG